UUUUCUUUUUUUAUUUUCAUUAUUUUCUUCUUCUUUAAUAAGAAACUAUAUACUUAUUGCUUUAGUUACAUCAACUCCUCACUGUAUUGUUUAUCCUUGAGGUAUUAUGAAUCAAACAAAUUAAGUUAUGUGGUUACUCUAGCGUAUAAAUAUAUCGACAUUGCACUACUCUCAAUCGAACUGUGUGGAGAAUGCGUGAAAAUAAUCAAAUUAAACUAAAAAGCAUACACUCUAAAGAAAAAAAAAAUGCCUACCAAAACUAUACGAUUUCUAAAAAGUCCAAAAAUAGUUGGAAAUGCACAGUUAAGUGCAAAAAUUUAACAAAAUUUUACCUAACCCCUUCAAGAAACCCCAUAAACAAUUUUUGUUGUACCAAUUUGGCCAGUCAGCCGGCAGAUGAUUGUGCUACGAUGUGUUGGUAUGCGUGUGCGUGCGUGCGUUCGUAGUAAUUGCAAGCGGAAAAAAUUCUGAUAUUAAAAGAAAACAACAAAAUUUGAUGAUUUACAAAAAUUAACUUCUAGCGCUGAGUUGCUUAAAAUUAAAAAAUAAUGUGGCAAAAUUGAAAUGAAAUUAAUUUGCAAAAGUGUAAUUUAUUUACGCAAAAUUUUUUGAGAAUGAAUAAAGGAAACGAGUUUAUAAAGGAUAAUGGAAAAGUUUAAUAUCGAGCAGGAUCAAAUAAUAAACAAACAUUUGGAGAAAUGAUAUAUAAAAAAUAAAAUAAAUAUUGUUGAUGAAUAAAUACAAUAAACAUGUUGGGUGAAGCAUUGAUAAUGCGUGCUUGAAGAAAUUCAAUUGAAAUUAAUUGUUAAAAAGUAAAAAAUAAAUAGUUUUGUGUUUAAAAUAUAUAAAAAUGAAAUAAUUUGAAAGCAAUUUUUAUAAAAACGAUCUUUUUUUUGUUUUCUGAAAUUUGUGUUCUAGUUCGGUCAUUUUUUUUCUUGGUUUAUGAAAAUAUGCUUUCUAUAAGUAGAAUGGUUUCUGAAAGUUAUGCUCGAGUUAGUUUAAUUUUUAAUAAUUUAUGAAUAUUAUUAAAAAAAAAUAAAUUAUAAUAAAAAAAUAUAUAGUUUUUUUUGUUCUUUAAAAAAUUUUAAGCCAAAUUUUGAAACAUACUGACAACCUUGCAGUUAAGAGUUUUUUACGUUAGUGUUUCGGUUAAUUUAAAUUUUAAAUGGUUCUCAAUUACAAUAAUAAAACAUAAACGAAAAUUAAGAGUAAGUUUAUUUGUAGUUGUUGCAAGUAAUUAUAAAUACAUAUGGUAUAUAAUUUAUUUCAAAAAUAAAAACUUAUGCUAACUCAAAAUUCCAAAUUUGCAAAAUGUAGAGGAAAUUAGAGUUAUAUAGAGCAGUAGCGGUCAAAAUAUAGAAGAACAAAGUUAUAUUAGCGAUAUAAAGUUUUUGAGCAUGCAAUGAACGUAAAUACGUAACAUAACAAUGCAUAACAUGGCAUAACUUAACAUAACAUAGCAUAACAUAACCCAACUUAACUUAAGUUGACUUAACUUGAGUUGACUUAACGUAACGUAACAUAACUUAAUGCCACUUAACGUAACGUAACUUAACUUAAUGUAACUGAAUUUAAUGUGACUUAAUUUAAUGUAACUUAACUUAACUUAACUUGAUUUGACUUGACGUAACUUAACGACACUGUAACUCAACUAAACUUUCAUUGAUUUGACUUGACUGGACCUAAUUUCACUUGACUUGACAAUGGUUAACAUGACAUAACUUAACAUAACAUAACAUAAUAUGACAUAACUUAAUUUAACUUAACUUAACAUAACAUUGCAGAGCUGAGCAUAGCAUACAGACAAUUAUGUGUUUCAACAGGAAUUCAAGUUUGAUGCCUUCGGCAUAAAACAUACGGGUAAAUCAAAAUAAGUAAUAAUGACAUAUAUUAGAUUUGACUAAAUAAAGUAUAUUAGCAAAAAUUAAUGCAUAUUUAGUGAAAACUUUCUGUAUUAAAAGUUGAAGUAGUUUCCCAAAAUAGAAAAAAAGUAAAAGAAAAGUAGUAAAAAAAAAUUAAACUCCGAUAUCAAAUUAACUUCAAGCACUAAACAGUGCAAGGUGAAUAUUUAUGGAGUAUAAAUAUGUAGGGUCUAUAAUAAAUAGUUAUUAACAUCCUAACACCAUAUAAGAAAAUAAUAUACAUAUACUUACAACAAUUAAGCCAUUUAGCGACCUUUCAAGCUCCUUUGCCAGCCAACUUCAAUAAAGGAUGCGAAAUUUCGAAGUGUCGUAGAGUUUCAGUGUUUUGUGUACCUUGCCAAGACCAAAAAACUCGCUUAAGAUCAGCAGAAAAUUAUGAAAAAAGUAUGGCAUAGAAUUCUACUGUACCAACCAACUGAUGUUUCUGCUGAUUUGGAAACUCGCCAACAGUAAAAAACACUCUCUUAGCAUAUGUUUCUGCGUUUCCAUUAAAGCCUACUGAAAAUUUCUUAAAAACCUGUCAUAAAUACCGAAAAAUAUAUAAAUUAUGAAAGUAAUGGUGGUAUAUGGGUUCCAAAUCGAUCGGAGUGAAAAUCUCUAAGAUUUCCUAGAUAAUCUACGAACUUUCUUGCUCUUAGUCCUCUACAUUUUUGUAAGAUUUUAUGAAAAUGCGCAAAAAUGUUAACUGAUGUAAUAGAACACCAAAUAUUUUAAAUAAAACUUAAAUAUUAUACUACACGUUGUCAUAUAUACAAGAAAACAUUUAUGAAAUUUUUUGCAAUUUUUUUUUUUUUUUGGAAUUCCUUUAACCACAGAAAAUAUGGAUUUCAGCAGCAAAAAAUAAUUUUGGUGUACCAAACCGAAAAAUGGUUAAAUAUAUAAAAAAAAAAAUAACAAUAAAAAAAAUAAUUAAAAAUUAUUAAAAUAACAAAAAAUAAUUUUAAUAAUUAAUACAUAAUUAAAAAUAACCAAAUUUAUUAAAAAUUAAAAAAUAAUUCAAAUUAUUAAAAAUUAAAAAAUAAUUAAAGAUAAUUAAAAGUUAAAAAAUAAUUAAAAGCUAUUGUUAAUUAUGCUUUAAUUUUUCAUCAAACUGAAAAAAGAAAAUUAAAGAUUUCAUCUUUAGUAGUGGCAUCUAAUGCCACCAAUUUUAUGUGUUUCAAAGUAGAAUAUGCACGCUAGAAGCAGUUGAAUACUCGUUUAAUGAAGUCAACAGGAUAUAAUAAAGUGUUGUGUAGACAAGUGUUGAAUAAAAUUUUCAGAAAAAAAUCACAUUUUAGGUGAUUCUUGCAUUUAGAAGAAAAUAUAAUAAGAAUACAAAUAUAAAAAGCAAUAGAAAAUUAAAAUAUUUAAUAGCAAAUACUGCAAAAAAUAUUCAGAAAAUAAUUACAACACCGACACACAAAACUAGUAUUAAUGCAAAUUUCAAUUUCCCACGAUCUAUUUUAUAAAUACGUCAACUCGGCAAAUCACUUGAAAAAUUAAGACGACUCUUAUAAGAAACAAAACAAUUGUUAAUUAAAAAAAUAAAUGAAAAAAAAAAUAUUUACAUAUUUCCUGACAUAUUUUUUAAACUAAGUCACUUUUCAAAUUAAUUCAGCGCAAAAUGUAUUUUCAAUUCACUCAUGCAAAUCACAAUCACCAAAUUAAUGUCAUAAACAUAUCACCGAAAUACCACAAAACUCGUAAUUUUCCAAUUAAAAAAAUUAUAAAUUUUCUAAAAAGGAAAUCGUUAACUAAAUUAAAGAUCUGCUCUUGCAUUUUCGCCAGCACAAUGCAUUGAAACACCCAGCACACCCAUCCUGCGGCACGAAAUCAUCACGGAGUCUAACUCAACCUACAAAUUAGCAGCAGUAAAUUAUGAGAAAGUAGUCUAUGAUAUAAGUUUAUCAUUUGUGAAUAAAAAAUAUUAGGUUUUAUUUUUGCACACAUUUUGUAUGAAAACGCAUAAAACAAUUCUGAAAGCCUAGUAGUAGAAAUAUGGAUAGAUUUUCAUUUUUUUAGUGUAAGCUCAGAUAAAAGCUUUUGAUAUUUUAAGCUCAGAUACAAAAUUUUCAUAAUUUAAUGCUAGUUUCAAUGAAAACUUAAAGUAUUUUCAUGAAAGCUCAUAUGCAAACUUUUGAUAUUUUAACGAAAGCUUUUAAUAUUUUAUGAAAGCCUAAGUACAAGCUUUUGUUGUUUUGAUUAAAGCUCAGAUACAAACUUUUAAUAUUUUAAAGAAAUCACUAAUAAAAGCUUCUAUUAUUUUGACAAAAGCACAGAUAAAAAGUUUUGUGAUUUUAAUGAAAGCUCAGAAGCAAACAUUUUAAAUAUAAAUGAUAGGUCAGCUGAAAGCUUUUGACAGUUUGAUGAAUGUUCAGGUACAGGUCUUUUAAAUUUGAAUGAAUGUAAAAGCUUUACACAUUUUGCCAAAAAGCUUUCAUUUAUGUAUAUAGCUUUUUAUAUAUCGAUGAAAGUUCAGACACAAGUUUUUCAUAUUUUAGUGAAAGCUGAGAUGCAAACUUGUCAUAUUUUAACGAAAAUGCCCAUAAAAGCUUUUGAUAUUUCGAUGAAAGCUCAGAUGCAAGUUUUUAUAAUUUAGUGCAAGCUGGGGCAAACUUUUGACAUUUUUAUGAAAGUUCAAGUGAAAGAUUUUUAGCUUUUGAUAAUAAGUCAGAGUUUUCAGUUUUUUUUAUUUUUUGUGAAAGCUCAGAUACAGUUUUUGCUCUUAUAGCAAAACUUGGGAUGAAAGCUUUUGAUACCUUAAUAAAAGUUCAGUUACAAGCUCUUGAUAUUCAUGAAAGCUCAGGUGAAAGCUUCUGAUAAUAAUUUGUUAAAAUUUAUUCAAAAAUUUUGGCAUAUGAAAGCAUUUUUUCCAACAUUUUCAGUCUUUAACAGCUAUUCGUAAAACGUCGUUUUCCAAGUGCUUGUAAUUAAGAAUUACGUGCGUUUUCGUAUGAAAUUUGUGCGCUAGAAUCUUUAGAGUUUCCUUUUAGUAGACAAAACACUUUAGUUCUUCAUAAAAUUAUAUAUGCAACUAUUUGCACUUUCUAAAACUUGUAGCUCUCGCAAAAUAUCAUCAUCUCGAAUAUAAAAUAUCAACAGCGCCUCAUACCAUUUAUAUCAUGUAAACUUUGGCAUAUGCAAAAACAACAAAAGAAUGCGAUGUCAUUCAAACACAUAUACAAAGAAAUGCAAAUCACUUAUACACAUACAAAAAUCAUAUUUACUCACCUAAAAAACACCUUGAAUCACAAAAAUCACAACAAAUACAAAUCAAACCCACUUUACACUUACGCUAACAUAAAAACUAAAAAAACGCAUAAUGCAAAAGCAAAAAGAUUAAAAUGAAUGAAUGUUAAUGAAAACGCUCACCUUACCCACACGCAUAACUCAUAAUAAAAAUUGAAAAAUAUUAAUGAAAAUCGCAUAAAAAAAACUCAUCCACAAUGGUAACAAUAAUUAGGCUUAUAAGUGCGUAAUAUUUAUUAUGUAUUUGUAUUUGUAUUUAUAUAUGUAUAUGUACGUAUGAAUGUUAAACUAUACUAACGCAUAUAUACUGAAAUAACUAAUUUAAGUUAAACUCAAUUAAACUUAACUAAAAUAUUAAUUAUAUAAAUUAUAAAUUAAUUAAUUUAUAUUUAUACAUACAUACCUAUAUAUAUACAUAUGUACACACAUACUUACAAAUCUACAUUAGCGAUUUAAUUCAGAAGCAGCAAAACAACCACGGAUGUGUAAUGCUUUAAACACAUAUUUGUAUUGAUAAUGAUUGUGGCACAUACACACACGCAAACUGCUUUGCAGCGUUGCUUGUGCGCAUAUUUCGUAUUUCAAUAUGUGUAUUUUAUACAGCGAGCAGCAAAAUAGUUGUUUGCAUUUCAUGGUACGCCAUAAGUAGUGGUAGGAGAUAAUAAUUUCCAUUAUGGAAUGUAUUUGAAGCUUUCGAGCUCUUUGUGCUUUUGAGAAAAAGUAAAGUUAAGACUACUUGUGUGUUGCUUUAUUGAGACAUUUGUGUCUUUUUUUUAUGUAAAAAAAUAUAUAUUCGUAUUAAUAUGCUUAUGAGCUUUUUGAGCUUUUGAAAAAAUGCAAGUUGUAAAAUAUUCGACGAAUGCAAGUUUACUAAUUACCAAGAUAUUUUUUAAAGAAAGCUUUGGUUGACAAUUUAGUGUGAAGCACAAGAUACUUCGGUGUAAGCUUUGUUACAAUUUUUGCAAGCUUUAAGCUUUUAUCAACUUCAUCGACAUUUAAGCCUAAAAUUUAUGUUGUUUUUAACAAAAACUUACUUUAAAAUGUCUAAGCAUCCAUGAAAAUUCACAAAAGCUCACAUAGACAUAAUUGAUUUUAGUGCUUAUGCAGCAAUUUUUGCAAUUUUUGUGCUUUUAAAAGUUGUUAGUUAGUUGACAACUCUUCUAAGUCUUAACUGGAAGUAUUAUCUCUACGCCAAGCCACAUAUAUUUACAUACAAAAAAGCUAUUUGAAUUGGUCUCCAAUUUUUCUAUGAAUCACAUAUACAAAAUUGUGAGACAUUUUUAUAAUAAAAAAAAUAAAUAUGCAGGUAUUUUAUAAAAGAAGAAAUAAUGUGUGUACGCUUUCACUGAAAGCUCGCUAGCGCUUUUGUAAGCGCUUACUCACACCUAUGCUGUGCUAUUAAUUGUAAGUUCGUUGCUUAAGUCUUUUGUUUGCGCGCUUCUUUUCCGCCACUGUGAUUCUUCUCUGUAACAUAUGCACUCAUUGCGUGAUUUUAUUUUUUCUUUCGCGAUUCUCUUUAUAAAUUUAGUAAUUGGUAAGCUAAAUUAAUGCAGAAAAUACACACACACACUUACAAAUAAAAGAAAACAAAUGAAAUUUAAUAUAAAAAACAAGAAAAUAUCGAAAUUUAAACAAACUCAAACACACACUCAAUCACUCAUCGCAUCUCUACAACUACAAAACAUAGUAACUGUACAAGUUCAAAACUAAUAAAUUAGUGUAUUAGUAUAUACGCAUACAUACAAAUAUUCAAACCAAAAAUUUAAUUACAAAAAAAAUAAUAAUAAUAUUUAAUACAAUAUAAUGGCAUAAAUAAAUAUUUAAGUGCAUACAUACACAUAACUCCUGUGUCGACUGUAUUAGUUGUCUGAAAACGUUCUAAAUUUUGCGUGAAAUUCGUUAAUUAAACAAUUUCAUAUACAUAAAUAUGUAUUUGUGUCCCGGCUGGGGCAGUGAAAUAGCAAAAGACAUACUUUAGCGUAAUAAAAUACAAAAAUAAAAAUAAAACUAUGAAUACACAAGAGUUGAGCAAAGCGGAAGAUUACAGAGGGUCGUAAUUGAGUUGAAAAUAUAAGUGCAUACACAACAUAAAACCAAAAAUAAAAUAUACAUACAUAUAUACAUAUAAUAUGAUCAAACUAAUUUAAAUAUUAUAAAAAUAUUUAAUGAGAAAUUUACCAAUAAAACUUUCUGUAGCAGUAAACAAAA